rnacentral:lncRNA from 1 species
AAUCAAUCAAAGUUAUUGUAUUAUAACAUAUUUUAACCCCAAACAACACUAGAUAAGUCAUUUAGUUGUUCAACGCAAUGUUUCCGAGUUCUUAGCCCAUAUGGGACCCAAUUUCAACAAGUCUUUCUCCAUACUUCCAACCACUCUUCAUGCAUCUAUAGUUCUUGUAAUCAAUCAAAUUCAUUGUAUUCUAACAUAUUCUAAUCCCAAACAACACUAUAUAAGUCAUUUAGUGGUUCAACGCAAUGUUUCCGAGUUCUUAGCCCAUUUGGGACCCAAUUUCAACAAGUCUUUCUCCACACUUCUAAACACUCUUCAUGCAUCUCUAGCACUUGUGAUCAAUCAAAUUUAUUUUAUUCUAACAUAUUCUAACCCCAAACAACACUAGAUAAGUCAUUUAAUGGUUCAGCGCAAUGAAUCCGAGUUCAUAGCCUAAUUGGGACCCAAUUUCAACAAGUCUUUCUCUACACUUCUAAACACUCUUCAUGCAUCUCUAGCACUUGUAAUCAAUCAAAUAUAUUGUAUUCUAACAUGUUCUAACCCCAAACAACACUAGAGAAGCCAUUUAGUGGUUCAACGCAAUGUUUCCGAGUUCUUAGCCCAUUUGGGACCCAAUUUCAACAAGUGUUUCUCCACACUUCUAAACACUUUUCAUGCAUCUCUAUAACUUGUAAUCAAUCCAAUUUAUUGUAUUCUAACAUAUUCUAACUCCAAACAACACUAGACAACCCAUUUACUGCUCCAAAGACAUGUUUAUGAAUUCUUAGCCCAUUCGGGACCAAAUUUCAACAAGUCUUUCUACACACUUCUAACCACUCUUCAUGCAUCUCUAGCACUUGUAAUUAAUCAAAGUUAUUUUAUUAUAACAUAUUCUAUCCCCAAACAACACUAGACAAGCCAUUUAAUGCUUCAAAGCAAUGGUUUUGGGUUCUUAGCCCAUUUUGUACCAAAUUUAAGCAAAUAUUUCAACACACUUCUAAACACUCUUCAUGCAUCUCUAGCACUUGUAAUCAAUCAAAUUCAUUGUAUUCUAACAUAUUCUAAUCCCAAACAACACUAUAUAAGUCGUUUAGUGGUUCAACGCAAUGUUUCCGAGUUCUUAGCCCAUUUGGGACCCAAUUUCAACAAGUCUUUCUCCACACUUCAAAACACUCUUCAUGCAUCUCUAGAACUUGUAAUCAAUCAAAAUUAUUUUAUUCUAACAUGUUCUAACCCCAAACAAUACUAGACAAGCCAUUUAGUGGUUCAACGCAAUGUUUCCGAGUUCUUAGCCCAUUUGGGAUUCAAUUUCAACAAGUCUUUCUCCAAACUUCUAAACACUUUCAUGCAUCUCUAAAACUUGUAAUCAAUCCAAUUUAUUGUAUUCUAACAUAUUCUAACUCCAAACAACACUAGACAACCCAUUUACUGCUCCAAAGACAUGUUUAUGGAUUCUUAGCCCAUUUGGN